GACGAACGCUGGCGGCGUGCCUAAUACAUGCAAGUUGAGCGAUGAAGAUUGGUGCUUGCACCAAUUUGAAGAGCAGCGAACGGGUGAGUAACGCGUGGGGAGUCUGCCUUUGAGCGGGGGACAACAUUUGGAAACGAAUGCUAAUACCGCAUAACAACUUUAAACAUAAGUUUUAAGUUUGAAAGAUGCAAUUGCAUCACUCAAAGAUGAUCCCGCGUUGUAUUAGCUAGUUGGUGAGGUAAAGGCUCACCAAGGCGAUGAUACAUAGCCGACCUGAGAGGGUGAUCGGCCACAUUGGGACUGAGACACGGCCCAAACUCCUACGGGAGGCAGCAGUAGGGAAUCUUCGGCAAUGGACGAAAGUCUGACCGAGCAACGCCGCGUGAGUGAAGAAGGUUUUCGGAUCGUAAAACUCUGUUGGUAGAGAAGAACGUUGGUGAGAGUGGAAAGCUCAUCAAGUGACGGUAACUACCCAGAAAGGGACGGCUAACUACGUG
rnacentral:rRNA from 1 species